GCCGCGCGCAGAUACGACAAAUGAAACGCCAACUUUUAGAUAUUUGUUCACGAAAAAGGGGCAGUUUAACUUUUACAAACGAGUGGAAACAUUGCGCGCAUUUUAGGACACCGACUGACUCACGUGCCUUUUUUUUUUGAAGAACCUGAGAGGGAGAACGAGUCCAAAGACUCAAGGACGAACACAAUGGGCGAAUAUUCAGAUUAGGAUCUCCCUUUAGAUCUCCCUUUGUGGAGCAGUGGCCUCCUCGUUGUGAAUGACACGGUGAGCUGGAGAGAGGAUUUUAAAGCACGCAGGUUCAUUGCGGAUGUCAAGAGAAA